CACACCCACAUGAAGAAAUGUUUCUCCUCCGCAGCACAGCACGACGUGUGUCUCUACCGGCAGAGAGAUAGCGGCUGUGUUCAAAUUCAGGUGCUGCGACCUCCCGAGGCCGGGUUUGUCGGCCGGUGACGUCACAGCGUCGCGACAAGUGCUGUCCAAAUUCAGGGUCUGCUUCAAACUCAGCCGACGAACGCGGCCUCACUCUUCCGAUUUUGAAGGAUUGUUCUGGUGUAUCCUUCUAUACUGACCGUAUCCCAAGAUGCAUUGCGGUCGGCCCCGAAGAAAUUUUCUGGCAACAAUGGCGGACGUUGAUGCGGGACGCGGAGUCUGGGAAAAUUUCACUUUUAAAUAGCCGGCGUCACCGACCCGGUUCUUCGUGAACUCCACUGCCCUGCUUCAGUAAUUCCUGAUUAGCUGGAUUGGAUGAGCUCCGUUUCUGAUUGACUGAACACACCUGAUCAGGACAAUCCUGGAGAAAUUGGAUCUGCUGGAGAAGUACAGCAGUGAAGAAGUACAGCAGUGGGUGAAAGAGAAGAGAGUGAAGAAAGAGAAGGAAGGAGUGAGCCACCGGCUGGACGAAGAAAAAUAAUAAGAAACAGUGAUGAGCUUCUAGACCUGAUCAGAGAGGACAUGAGGCAGAAGAGCAGAGCGCACGAGAGAGGAGGGAAACUUUUGACCAACUUUAGUCUGCUGGAAAGAAUUGCUGUUAAAAUCCUUAGAUGUCUGAUAAUAAAUAAAUGAAGUUUAUGUUUGAUAUAUUAAACAUGUUUGUUUUUGUUUUGUUAAUUUAAAUAAAGAUCUAAAUCAAACACA